GCCCGGCUAGCUCAAUCGGUAGAGCGUGAGACUCUUAAGGAACCUCACGAUUCUGGCAGAGAUGCAUCUCAAGGUUGUGGGUUCGACCCCCACGUCGGGCU